rnacentral:rRNA from 1 species
UACAAAGGAAGCAAGCGUUAUUGGAAUGAUUGGGUGUAAAGCGUCAAUAGGUGGCUUUAUAAGUCCACCGUCAAAUCCCAGGGCUCAAACCUGGACAGGCGGUGGAAACUACCUAGGUGGAGUACGGUAGGGGCAGAGGGAAUUUCUGGUGGAGCGGUGAAAUGCAUAGAGAUCGAAAAGAACACCAACGACAAAAGCACUUUGUUGGGCCGACACUAACACUGAGAGACGAAAUCUAGGGGAGAGAAUGGG